rnacentral:pre_miRNA from 13 species
CUGGGCGGGCGGCUGUUAAGACUUGCAGUGAUGUUUAACUCCUCUCGCGUGAACAUCACGGCAAGUCUGUGCUGCUUCCCGUCCUCAG